AUUGAACGCUGGCGGCAUGCCUUACACAUGCAAGUCGAACGGCAGCACGGGUGCUUGCACCUGGUGGCGAGUGGCGAACGGGUGAGUAAUAUAUCGGAACGUACCUUAUCGUGGGGGAUAACGCGGCGAAAGCUGUGCUAAUACCGCAUAAGCCCUAAGGGGGAAAGCAGGGGACCGUAAGGCCUUGCGCGAUUAGAGCGGCCGAUACCUGAUUAGCUAGUUGGGGAGGUAAAGGCUCACCAAGGCAACGAUCAGUAGCUGGUCUGAGAGGAGUAUCAGCCACACUGGGACUGAGACACGGCCCAGACUCCUACGGGAGGCAGCAGUGGGGAAUUUUGGACAAUGGGGGCAACCCUGAUCCAGCAAUGCCGCGUGAGUGAAGAUGGCCUUCGGGUUGUAAAGCUCUUUUGUCAGGGAAGAAACAGCAGCUCUAAUACAGUAUGCGAAUGACGGUACCUGAAGAAUAAGCACCGGCUAACUACGUGCCAGCCGCCGCCGUAA
rnacentral:rRNA from 1 species